UACAGAGGAGCCAAGCGUUGUCCGGAUUGACUGGGCGUAAAGCGCACGCAGGCGGACGCGCGCGUGGGGUGUGAAAUCUGGCCGCUUAACGGCCAGGCGCCAUCCCAUACGGCGCGUCUGGAGUGAUGCAGAGGUCGGUGGAAUUGCCGGUGUAGUGGUGAAAUGCGUAGAGAUCGGGAGGAAGGCCGGUGGCGAAGGCGGCGCUCUGGAACGUUUCUGACACUGAGGCUCGAAAGCGUGGGGAGCAAACAGG
rnacentral:rRNA from 1 species